UACGGAGGGUGCAAGCGUUAUCCGGAUUCACUGGGUUUAAAGGGUGCGUAGGUGGGCAGUUAAGUCAGUGGUGAAAUCUCCGGGCUCAACCCGGAAACUGCCAUUGAUACUAUCUGUCUUGAAUAUCGUGGAGGUAAGCGGAAUAUGUCAUGUAGCGGUGAAAUGCUUAGAUAUGACAUAGAACACCAAUUGCGAAGGCAGCUUACUACCCGAAUAUUGACACUGAGGCACGAAAGCGUGGGGAUCAAAACAGG
rnacentral:rRNA from 1 species